rnacentral:rRNA from 1 species
AAUAGAUACCCGGGUAGUCCACGCCGUAAACGUUGGGCGCUAGAUGUGGGGACCAUUCCACGGUUUCCGCGUCGUAGCUAACGCAUUAAGCGCCCCGCCUGGGGAGUACGGCCGCAAGGCUAAAACUCAAAGGAAUUGACGGGGGGCCCGCACAAGCGGCGGAGCAUGCGGAUUAAUUCGAUGCAACGCGAAGAACCUUACCAAGGCUUGACAUAUGCGAGAACGCUCUAGAAAUAGAGAACUCUUUGGACACUCGUAUACAGGUGGUGCAUGGUUGUCGUCAGCUCGUGUCGUGAGAUGUUGGGUUAAGUCCCGCAACGAGCGCAACCCUCGUCGCAUGUUGCCAGCACGUAAUGGUGGGAACUCAUGUGAGACUGCCGGGGUCAACUCGGAGGAAGGUGGGGAUGACGUCAAAUCAUCAUGUCCCUUAUGUCUUGGGCUUCACGCAUGCUACAAUGGCCGGUACAAAGGGCUGCGAAACCGCAAGGUGGAGCGAAUCCCAAAAAGCCGGUCUCAGUUCGGAUUGAGGU